rnacentral:rRNA from 1 species
CACAUAUUGUGAGCUCGAUGAGUAGGGCGGGACACGUGGUAUCCUGUCUGAAUAUGGGGGGACCAUCCUCCAAGGCUAAAUACUCCUGACUGACCGAUAGUGAACCAGUACCGUGAGGGAAAGGCGAAAAGAACCCCGGCGAGGGGAGUGAAAAAGAACCUGAAACCGUGUACGUACAAGCAGUGGGAGCACGCUUAGGCGUGUGACUGCGUACCUUUUGUAUAAUGGGUCAGCGACUUAUAUUCUGUAGCAAGGUUAACCGAAUAGGGGAGCCGAAGGGAAACCGAGUCUUAACUGGGCGUUAAGUUGCAGGGUAUAGACCCGAAACCCGGUGAUCUAGCCAUGGGCAGGUUGAAGGUUGGGUAACACUAACUGGAGGACCGAACCGACUAAUGUUGAAAAAUUAGCGGAUGACUUGUGGCUGGGGGUGAAAGGCCAAUCAAACCGGGAGAUAGCUGGUUCUCCCCGAAAGCUAUUUAGGUAGCGCCUCGUGAAUUCAUCUCCGGGGGUAGAGCACUGUUUCGGCAAGGGGGUCAUCCCGACUUACCAACCCGAUGCAAACUGCGAAUACCGGAGAAUGUUAUCACGGGAGACACACGGCGGGUGCUAACGUCCGUCGUGAAGAGGGAAACAACCCAGACCGCCAGCUAAGGUCCCAAAGUCAUGGUUAAGUGGGAAACGAUGUGGGAAGGCCCAGACAGCCAGGAUGUUGGCUUAGAAGCAGCCAUCAUUUAAAGAAAGCGUAAUAGCUCACUGGUCGAGUCGGCCUGCGCGGAAGAUGUAACGGGGCUAAACCAUGCACCGAAGCUGCGGCAGCGACGCUUAUGCGUUGUUGGGUAGGGGAGCGUUCUGUAAGCCUGCGAAGGUGUGCUGUGAGGCAUGCUGGAGGUAUCAGAAGUGCGAAUGCUGACAUAAGUAACGAUAAAGCGGGUGAAAAGCCCGCUCGCCGGAAGACCAAGGGUUCCUGUCCAACGUUAAUCGGGGCAGGGUGAGUCGACCCCUAAGGCGAGGCCGAAAGGCGUAGUCGAUGGGAAACAGGUUAAUAUUCCUGUACUUGGUGUUACUGCGAAGGGGGGACGGAGAAGGCUAUGUUGGCCGGGCGACGGUUGUCCCGGUUUAAGCGUGUAGGCUGGUUUUCCAGGCAAAUCCGGAAAAUCAAGGCUGAGGCGUGAUGACGAGGCACUACGGUGCUGAAGCAACAAAUGCCCUGCUUCCAGGAAAAGCCUCUAAGCAUCAGGUAACAUCAAAUCGUACCCCAAACCGACACAGGUGGUCAGGUAGAGAAUACCAAGGCGCUUGAGAGAACUCGGGUGAAGGAACUAGGCAAAAUGGUGCCGUAACUUCGGGAGAAGGCACGCUGAUAUGUAGGUGAAGUCCCUUGCGGAUGGAGCUGAAAUCAGUCGAAGAUACCAGCUGGCUGCAACUGUUUAUUAAAAACACAGCACUGUGCAAACACGAAAGUGGACGUAUACGGUGUGACGCCUGCCCGGUGCCGGAAGGUUAAUUGAUGGGGUCAGCGCAAGCGAAGCUCUUGAUCGAAGCCCCGGUAAACGGCGGCCGUAACUAUAACGGUCCUAAGGUAGCGAAAUUCCUUGUCGGGUAAGUUCCGACCUGCACGAAUGGCGUAAUGAUGGCCAGGCUGUCUCCACCCGAGACUCAGUGAAAUUGAACUCGCUGUGAAGAUGCAGUGUACCCGCGGCAAGACGGAAAGACCCCGUGAACCUUUACUAUAGCUUGACACUGAACAUUGAGCCUUGAUGUGUAGGAUAGGUGGGAGGCUUUGAAGUGUGGACGCCAGUCUGCAUGGAGCCGGCCUUGAAAUACCACCCUUUAAUGUUUGAUGUUCUAACGUGGACCCGUGAUCCGGGUUGCGGACAGUGUCUGGUGGGUAGUUUGACUGGGGCGGUCUCCUCCUAAAGAGUAACGGAGGAGCACGAAGGUUGGCUAAUCCUGGUCGGACAUCAGGAGGUUAGUGCAAUGGCAUAAGCCAGCUUGACUGCGAGCGUGACGGCGCGAGCAGGUGCGAAAGCAGGUCAUAGUGAUCCGGUGGUUCUGAAUGGAAGGGCCAUCGCUCAACGGAUAAAAGGUACUCCGGGGAUAACAGGCUGAUACCGCCCAAGAGUUCAUAUCGACGGCGGUGUUUGGCACCUCGAUGUCGGCUCAUCACAUCCUGGGGCUGAAGUAGGUCCCAAGGGUAUGGCUGUUCGCCAUUUAAAGUGGUACGCGAGCUGGGUUUAGAACGUCGUGAGACAGUUC